rnacentral:rRNA from 1 species
UACGUAGGGUGCAAGCGUUGUCCGGAAUCAUUGGGCGUAAAGCGCGCGUAGGUGGCUUCGUAAGUCCGUUGUGAAAGUCAAAGGCUCAACCUUUGAAUGCCGAUGGAUACUGCGAAGCUAGAGUACGGAAGAGGCGAGUGGAAUUCCUGGUGUAGCGGUGAAAUGCGUAGAUAUCUGGAGGAACACCGGGUGGCGAAGGCGGCAUCCUGGACCGGUAUUGACGCUGAGGCGCGAAAGCUAGGGGAGCAAACGGG